GCAAGGACAAAGAUUGUUUGCCCUUUUAGUCGUGGUGCCUUUCUAUGCUCUCCUAUUUUAUGCGAUCAUGGUUAAGCCAUGUUAAUAUUUUAUAUUUUAAUUAUUUUUUAUCUUAUUAUCUUAUUAAAAAAUUAAUAUAAAAUAUUAACGUGGUUUAACCGUGACCGCACAAAAUAGAAGCGCAUCCACGACUAGGAGGGCAGACAAUCCAAGUCCCACUCGCAACGCUCUCCUUCCACUCUCGCAUCUCUUGCUCGCUCUCUCGUAUGGAUAGCAGGAGGAAGACAAUGAUUCAAAUUCUUCCUAUCUAGGCUCCGACGAGGAAGGGGCUGGGCUCCGACAAGUAGAGGGAUAACAAUUUGCAUCUGGGCUCUGCCGAGAAGGACGAAGCCGAGGAAAGGAGCUUGACUUUCCCUGAUUAUGGUCGAUUUCUGGGCUUCAACGAGAAGGACGAAGACAAGGAAGGAAGCUUGAAAAUAUUUAAUUUCUGGGCUCCAACCAUUAAAAAUAUUUAUUUUUGGCAUUUUUGUUUUUGGUUGAUUUGUUUAUGGAUUUUACAAGGGUCCUAAAUGUUGGAUUUUUCCAUAAAUUUUUGUAAUUUUUUUGGAGUUCUGCUUAAAUUCAUAUGUAUAUUGCUGAAAUUGUAUUCAAGAAAUGUUGUAUACCAAAUACAAUAUAAAUAAUACAGUCUUAGUCCGAUAUUGCACCAAACGUUCGACUAAUUAAUCGAUACUAUCUGAUGG